rnacentral:rRNA from 1 species
AGAGUUUGAUCAUGGCUCAGAAUCAACGCUGGCGGCGUGCCUAACACAUGCAAGUCGAACGCGAAAGGGGCUUCGGCCCUGAGUAGAGUGGCAGACGGGUGAGUAACGCGUGGGUGACCUACCCUCGAGCGGGGGAUAACGUUCCGAAAGGGACGCUAAUACCGCAUGACAUCCUGUUCUUGGACGGAUGGUGAUCAAAGCUGGGGAUCGCAAGACCUGGCACUCGAGGAGGGGCCCGCGUCCGAUUAGCUAGUUGGUGAGGUAACGGCUCACCAAGGCUCCGAUCGGUAGCCGGCCUGAGAGGGCGGACGGCCACACUGGGACUGAGACACGGCCCAGACUCCUACGGGAGGCAGCAGUGGGGAAUUGUUCGCAAUGGGCGCAAGCCUGACGACGCAACGCCGCGUGGAGGAUGAAGAUCUUCGGGUCGUAAACUCCUGUCGAA